rnacentral:rRNA from 1 species
AUUGAACGCUGGCGGCAUGCCUUACACAUGCAAGUCGAACGGCAGCACGGGUGCUUGCACCUGUUGGCGAGUGGCGAACGGGUGAGUAAUACAUCGGAACAUGUCCUGUAGUGGGGGAUAGCCCGGCGAAAGCCGGAUUAAUACCGCAUACGAUCUACGGAUGACAGCGGGGGUCCUUCGGGCCUCGCGCUAUAGGGUUGUCCGAUGGCUGAUUAGCUAGUUGGUGGGGUAAAGGCCUACCAAGGCGACGAUCAGUAGCUGGUCUGAGAGGACGACCAGCCACACUGGAACUGAGACACGGCCCAGACUCCUACGGGAGGCAGCAGUGGGGAAUUUUGGACAAUGGGCGAAAGCCUGAUCCAGCAAUGCCACGUGUGUGAAGAAGGCCUUCGGGUUGUAAAGCACUUUUGUCCGGAAAGAAAUGCUUGGACCUAAUACGGUCGGGGGAUGACGGUACCGGAAGAAUAAGCACCGGCUAACUACGUG